rnacentral:snoRNA from 1 species
GAGACUAUACUUCCAGGGAUCAUUUCUAUAGUCUGUGAUAACUUUGCCAUCAAUAUAUUUUUAAGUCCCUAGAUUCCAAUGUACAAUCAAGUUUGAAAUCCAUUGACCAAUGACGAAGACCUGGAG